rnacentral:rRNA from 1 species
UACAGAGGAGCCAAGCGUUGUCCGGAUUGACUGGGCGUAAAGCGCACGCAGGCGGACGCGCGCGUGGGGUGUGAAAUCUGGCCGCUUAACGGCCAGGCGCCAUCCCAUACGGCGGGUCUGGAGUGAUGCAGAGGGCGGUGGAAUUGCCGGUGUAGUGGUGAAAUGCGCAGAUAUCAGGAGGAACACCGGUGGCGAAGGCGGGUCUCUGGGCCGAUACUGACGCUGAGGAGCGAAAGCGUGGGGAGCGAACAGG